CACACGAAAACGAGGCUCCAGGUCAUGACCUGGAGCCUCGUUUUCGUGUUAAAGCUUAUUUCCACAUUUAUUGGUCAAAAUAAAGAAUUAUUUGUCAUGCAUGUGUUGAAGGAUGUUCGGCUUGUCUGUGCAUAGCCCAUGAGAAAAAAACUUGAAAUCCUUUCCAUUCAAGAUGAUCCUAAGUUGAAAACAGUGUAGUUGUGACGUAAUUAUCGAAAGGGU